rfam:Brachypodium distachyon strain Bd21 chromosome 2, whole genome shotgun sequence.
AUCAUACUCCCUCCGUCCAAAAAAAGAUGUCUCAAGUCUGUGAAAUUUUGGAUGUAUCUAAACAUGACUUAGUGAAUAGAUGCAUCCAAAUUUAAUCAAAUUUGAGAGAUUCUUUGUUGGACGAAGGGAGUAGAAG